rnacentral:lncRNA from 1 species
UUUAAAACAUUUAAUAUAUAUAUUAUAUAUAUGCGCACACAUACAUACAUACAUACAAUAAUAAUAUAAUAAUAGUAAUAUAUAAUAUAAUAACAAAGAUAACAGCAACUUAAUAACAAUAAUAGUAUUAACAAACUAAUAUUUAAUUUAAUUUGUAAAAGCAAAUACAAUGGACUAAAUUAGAAUCAAAACAAAAUUAACAACACAAAAUCAAAUUAAAAUAGAGAAUGAAUUUGCGAAAUUCCGGCAACAUGAAAGGUCAAAAGGGAAAUUAAUCCCUCCUCUCCCAAAGUGCUGCGUAGCACUGGAUUAAAAUCAAACAAAUUUAAUGUUUUAGGGAAAAAUUUGAAAAUAGCAAAAAUAGUGGUUUUGAAAUGAUGAAAACAUGAGAGGAUUAAAAGCAUAAAUAACCCAUAAAUAAAACCCAUUUCAAUUGCAGCCAAUAAAACCCAUUUGAAGCCUUAAUCAAAACCCCAUUCCAACUUCAGCAACAGCAGCCGCAAGAACUGCUUCUUUCUCUUCUGCUUCUCACUGAAAUCUUCCCCUUUCAACUCCGAUUCGGAUGCAACGCAGCAAGGGCAUCAAUGGCGCGGCACCACUGGUAAGAACCUUCUCCUCUCCUCCUUAUUUCUGUUUUGCACACCCCAAAAAAACGAAACAAUAACAGAGAAAGCAAAAAAAAAAUCACCUUCAAAAUCUACUUUUGUCUUUCCUUUUGUAUUUUUAAUAUCUUUCUAAUACAACCUUCAUCUCUCCCAUUUACAGACUCGAAAUUGGAUUUAAAUGUACCCAAAAUUUACAAAAACUAUUUUCCUCUCCUUUUUUUCCUACUGCUAUCCCUUCCCCCACAAAAUAAUAAUCCAAAAAACCAUCCACCCUAAAUGUAUUCUGUUAUUUUUACAUCUAUUACCGUUUGGAUCAGUUUUUCGCAGGUAUGAGGGUCGUGGAAGGAAUGCGUCGUGGGUGGAAACGGUUGCUACAACGUGGGUCGUGCGGCACCGGGGCUGGAUGCUGAAGCUUCUAGGUUUUUUUAUUUUUAGUUUUAGGCUAAUUUGGGGUUUGAGAAAAAUUUGAUAAUGGGCCUUAGUUAUUUGGGUUAAUUUUUGGACUGGUGUAAUGAAUAUUUGGGUUGGUCUUGUUCUGAGUGGGCCGGGCAAAAAUGGGCUAUUACAGCUGCCUCUCUUUGCUCGUUGUCAUGUAAUGGGAACAGAGCAAAGACUAAAAAGCCCAAUUUUGCCCGGUCAUACUAGACCUUGGUGCUCCUCUUCUUUUUUAAAUAGCCUCAUUCCUUUCUAUUGCAUCUUCAGAGGUAUAGGAACUAGUGCUUCAAUCCACUCCACUGCAACAACAAUGAAAUAGGAUUUGGGUUUUCAAUUCAUUUAACUGCAAUGUUGGGGAAACAAGAUUCGCCGUCAUGACUUCAAUCUAUUCCACUACACUACCAGAGAAGUAAGAAUUACUGGCUUCAAUGUACUCCACUGUAACCUGAGGGAGGUAAAAUCUGCCAUCUUCGAUCUACUCCACUAAUGCCUAGGGAGAUAGGAUCUGUAAUCUUCAAUCUAUUCCACUGCUGCCCAGGGAGAUAGAAUUACUGGCUUCAAUGUACUCCACUGUAACCUCAGGGAGGUAAAAUUUGCCAUCUUCGAUCUACUCCACUAAUGCCUAAGGAGAUAAGAUCUGAAAUCUUCAAUCUAUUCCAAUGCUGCUCAGGGAAGUAGAAUUACUGGCUUCAAUGUACUCCACUGUAACCACGGGGAGGUAAAAUCUGCCAUCUUCGAUCUGCUCUACUAAUGCCUAGGGAGAUAAGAUCUGAAAUUUUCAAUCUAUUCCACUGCUGCCCAGGGAGAUAGAAUUACUGGCUUCAAUGUACUCCAUUGUAACCUCAGGGAGGUAAAAUCUUCCAUCUUCGAUCUACUCCACUAAUGCCUAGAGAGAUAAGAUCUGAAAUCUUCAAUCUAUUCCACUGCUGCCCAGGGAAGUAGAAUUCCUGGCUUCAAUGUACUCCACUGUAACCACGGGGAGGUAAAAUCUGCCAUCUUCGAUCUGCUCCACUAAUGCCUAGGGAGAUAAGAUCUGAAAUCUUCAAUCUAUUCCACUGCUGCACAGGGAAGUAGAAUUACUGGCUUCAAUGUACUCCACUGUAACCUCAGGGAGGUAAAAUCUGCCAUCUUCGAUCUGCUCCACUAAUGCCUAAGGAGAUAAGAUCUGAAAUCUUCAAUCUAUUCCACUGCUGCCCAGGGAAGUAGAAUUACUGGCUUCAAUGUACUCCACUGUAACCACAGGGAGGUAAAAUCUGCCAUCUUUGAUCUGCCCCACUACUGCUUAGGGAGACAAGAUCUGAAAUCUUCAAUCUACUUCUCUGUUAAUAUAGGAAGGUAAGAUCCGCCAUUUUCGACCUACUCCACUACUGCCCAGGGAGACAAGGCUGGUAUCUUCGAUCUGCUUCAUUGUCAGUACAAGAAGGCAAGAUCUGCUAUAUUCAGUCUGCUCUGCUGCAAACUUAGGAAGGCAAGGCUGAAGUUUCACCGGUUUGUCCUCUGAGGAACAUGACCUGUAUAAUUCAACUUAUGAACCUAAUUAUGCCUAGUGAUUAGGAUAUCAUGAUCAGAAUGAAUUAAAUGCUCCUAACUAGACAUGUAUGAAUGGUGUUUGCAUGAAUGCAAAAUUUUACUCUCCGAGAAUGAUCCCGCUUAGGUAGUUAUUACUCGAAGUUUAUUAAAGUCGUAUCACUGACGUGCUACAACGUCUUUUGUUUGGAUCACAUCUCCAAAGAAACACUUGAUCAAAUUGCCCCUCACUGUAAACCUCAAAGUUUCAUCCAUUGGGACGUAAAAUUUGUACCAUCUUUCUUCCGCUGUAACCCAAGGGUAGAAAAAUUUGGUCUUUUCUCAAUCCUCAUCUAUCGCAAUUCAAGGAUGCAAAAUGUGAAGCACUUUGGUCUUUCAUACCAAUCUCAGGGUGUCAUACCAAAUGCCUAUGCACAAAUGAAGGAUUCUUCUCUCCAAAGAAACCCCUUUUUUACUUGGUGAUUAUUGCUUGCUUGUUCAUCUAAGCCUUGCCACCAACCUAUCAUCCUGUCAUUUUGUUCAAUGUUUUUGACAACAAAAUAAAAAAGAAAGUCCUAAUUUAGACUUUUCCUUCUCAGAUUUCCAACCUUUAAACCUGGUGCGUUCUAAACAACAGUCAUGUUUCAGGCUCCUAUAUUGUUUAGAAACUUCUAGAGUAAUAUGCAAAACUUCCCUUGUGAAAGUUUUAUUAGUCCAUUAAUCAUUAUUCCAAUGCAACAUGCUUGCAAAAAGCUCAUAACAAUGGAUAAGAAUAAAGUUAGUUUUGAGCAUAGCUCGAAAUGAAUAAAUUAUCAAAAAUAGUAAAGAAAGAUAACAAAGAAAUUGAUUGGGAAUGCGUAUCUUGGAAAAGAAUGAAGUAUUCCAAGAAUAAAAAAUUCAAAAUAAAUAGUAUGGAGACGAGGUGCCCCAGAUGUCGCAGCUUGAACUUCUCUGUACAAACUUCUUGAAGACCAUUUUGAGUUUGACAUGUGUUUAGGAGAUCUACAUUACUCUGUCGAUGCCUUAAGAUGUCGCGUACCCUUUCCUGUUGACUAAGGCAUAUCAAGAUCACAGCAUGUCCCAUUCUAAUCAACAUUUGAGCUGCUCUGAUUACCUCAUGCCCAUUUUGAUCAAUAUUUGAGCCGCCCUUUUCGGGUUUUCAACUAAAAUUCCCUUUGGUCUAAGGCGCCCUUUGCUGGUUUUCACCUUAGCCUCUCCACUUUUAUUUUUUCCAUUUUUCAUUUUCAUUUGUUUUUUCACAUCAUUUUUCUUCUCUUUUUUUUUUUUGCGACUCAAAGUGCCCUUUGCAGGUUUUUACCUUGGUCCUCUCCUUCUUUAAGUGAAGUAUUUAUUGACUGAUUCUGAGUUUACAGGAUUAGACAAGUUUUUACUAUCCAUCUCACUCAAGAUCAGUGCUCCUCCGGAAAAUGUCUUCUUUACAACAUAAGGACAUUCCCAAUCUGGCACUCAUUUUUCUCUAAAUCUUUUUGUAGAGGAAUGAUCUUUUUCAAUACCAGGUCUCCUUCGUGGAAUUCUCUAGGACGAACCUUUUUGUUAUAAGCUCGCAUUAUCCGUUUUUGGUACAUCUGACCGUGACGAAUAACCUUUUUCCUUCAAUUAAGUUCAACUAAUCAUAUCGAGAUUAAAUCUUCAUCCUACUUCAGCUCAGCUAAUACCCGGAGAAAAAGAAUUUCAACUUCAAUGGAAAAAAAUCGUAAUAAGCUAAAGAGAAAGGCAUUGCCCCAGUGGAAGUUUUUUGUUUCUUUUUGUUUUUGUGUUGUUUUUUUUUUGAAUUGAAUCUGCACUCAUAAGAUUAGGCAAGUCCAGGUCAUCCUUUUCGAUCAGAAUCAAUAUUAUUCCAGAUAAGGUCUUCCUCGUAAGAUCUUCCACUUCAAUUAAGAUGAAAUCCAACAAGAAUACAGAAAAAUGACAACUUGACUCCAACGGGAUAAGCCAGAGAAGAAGGUAUUGCCCCGGUAAAGAAUUCUAACUACAUCGUUCAUGAUGUGAAUCUUGAACAUACUGCAAAUUUUUGACGUUGUACUGUUGCUCAAAUUACAAUAUCAGUACUUAACUCGGGCACGUCCUGGUAUGACCAUGCAAUAACAUCUUUGAACCCUUAAGGUAACUCAACAAGGUCUUACUUUGUUUCUCCGGUUAUGCAUGUUCCCUCAAGGUUACAAUCUCCAUUGUCUCCUCAUGAGGUAAAUUUGUUCACUUCUUGCUCUACCAUCCUCAACAAGUCUGGAGAUAGACUACGAUCUAUGUCAUCUUCAAAGUCAUGAGAUCCCUCUAAACACAUGUCUUGCUCAAAAGGAGAUUCUAAAUCUGUAGCAGUGUCAUUCAUGUCAUUGAUAUCUGGGGGCCCAUAAUAAAUAUCAAAGAAUAUACAAAAGAAUGUAUAAAUUAAUGAAGAAAUAUCUAUACAAUAUGAUUAUGAAUGAAUGAAUGAAUGAUGUGGAAGAAAAUCCAAAAGAAUGAAAGAAUAACUAUUCAGACAGACUGAAAGAAUAUUGGUUCAAAAAUGAUCGCAAGGAAGCAUUUCAUUAAAAUAACGACAACCAGACAUGAGCCUGUUUCAUAAAGGAAUUCUUAUUGCCUCUAGGCUAAAAGCAACAAGUGUGUUUUGAACAUUACUCUAAACAAGUCCUAAAUACUACAGAGAUUUCUUCUACAAUCCGAUUAUUUAGGACACUCCCAAGUUUAUAAGGAUGGAUAUCUAAAAAGGACCCUUUUCAAUUGUGUCUUCAUAUAUGGCAUUGAUGUGAACACCUCUCAACACUUCCUCAUACAUCACAUUCACCCCAUUAUCAAUCAUUAUUGGGUAGCGGAUUUUCUGCAUUGGAUGAAUCAUCAAAUUUGACAACGCCCAUGUUGAUGAGCCUUUCAACCAAUUUCUUGAAAGCGGUGCAAUUUUCUAUCGAAUGCCCCGUAAUUCCUGCAUGGUAUUCACACUGAGCAUUUGUAUUAUACCAUUUAGGAAAUGGGGGCAACAUUGGUUUCAAAUAGAAGGGAGACACCACAUGUGCAUUAAAUAGGCUUUGAUACAGCUCACUAUAAGACAUCGGUAUAGGCGUGAACUGAAGUCCUUCUGUAUUUGUCUUCGUGUAAGAUUCUCGCUUUAAAGGGCUCUGACGGUUAGUGAUUUCUGUCUUUGGUCGGCCCACAGUGAUUGGUUUUGAGUGACCCUUUUUAUAUCUACCUACAUUAUCUUCAUUAUUCCCCUUUUUCCUUGAGGCCUUUAAAAUAUUGAUUUGAGAGUUCCACUCUCGCCCCUUCCGUUUGUAACGAUCUUCAAACUAUUUUAGGAACUCCACCCUCGUCUGUUCUAUUUCUGCUUGAUCAUCAAUGAGAAUAGGAUUAGUUGAAUCACCUAUCGAGUUGGAACCUGAGCCAAUCUGGAAAUUCACUGGUGUCGAGGUGCUGGUCUGAUAUUGGGGUCGGAUGUUAACAAUUACCCUUUGUGGAUAUGCAUUUGGUUGUGCUUGGGUAUUUGUUGGGGUAAAGCCUGAAGGAUAUGUAGAGUCCUCAUUAUUAUCCCCAAAGUGGGCCACUGGGGUCUUUCCUCUUACUAACCCUUUAGCCAAUAACUGGGUUAACUGGCACAUUAUAUUUCUUUGGAAUUCUAACAACUGAUCUCUCAUAUCUUGCUAAAAUUUGGUCAAUUGCUCCUGUAUCUGCACUUGCAUUUGCUCUAAUUUCUCCAAACUUUGGUCCAUUUCUCUAGUCUUUGCUUGGAUGCCGUGAGGAUGUUGGUUUUCCAAAUUAACUGAAAUAAUUUUACUCAAUUAGGCUAUUUCAAUAGAUUUUAAUGCAUAUGAUGCAAUGUAAUGCAAAUGCAUGAGAUGAAUGCAAAAAGAGACGUUGAUUCUGAUUCAAUUCCAUUUAGAAAACUUUUCUAGAAGAUAAGUUUCUUUACAUAAAGCAGAUACAUAUAUACGGCUUUGCCCUCAUACUCCAAGCGAGGACAUCUUCUCCUUCUUCAUCUGGAUGCUAAGAUAAAUCUUGCGAAUUCUUCAAAAAGGGGUAUCUCCUCUACCUCUUUUUUACUUGAUCCUGGUUAUAAUCCAACGUCUGCCCAUCCCCGUAAUGCUCCUCAAUUUCUUUAAGGUAGUUGGAAUGUCAGAAACUCUUGAAUAAUCAGUUUGACCUUGAGGCACGAAGCAAAGUUAUGUAUUCAUCCAUCACCCUUCUCUUAUCACAUUUUCUUGGACCAUAUUCGGACAACCAUAUUGUCAUCCACUUUAUCAAGAAACUCAUUUUCUUAUGACAAGCUCUCUAUUUAGUAACUGAACGUGAAUCAACAUCUCUUUUCUAAGAUGCAAAUGCAAUGAAAUCAUAAUAAAAACAGCAUAAAAAACCAAGUCAGUACAAAGUAAAAGCAAACAAGAAAAUAAAAAAAGUACCUACUCGGGUGACCUCUAGGGGUUUGGCAUAGUUCUACCUAGGGCAAGUUCCUAAGGUUUACUAUAUGUGGUUUGGUUUCUAAGGAAAGGGUACCCGAACCAGCAGAUUCCUCGAUCCUCACCCAUUAUAGGCUCAUAUGGACCGAGUUCGGUUCAGGGGAAUACAUUUCCCUAUGGCUACACGGAGAUGAAAAUCUCACGAAGACAUAAGUACAGAUGUAUCCCGAAAGUGAUCCACUAUCCUGCACAGAGGUGAAAACCUCACGAAGGAGUAGCUUCUCACUCCCACCUAAAAGGGUGAAAUCGUCCAUGCAAUGCAAAAUGCAAAUAAACUAAUAGCCUUAAGCUAAUCAAGUAAAUAUAUAACAAUGAAAAACCAAUGAAUGCAAAAGGGAAAUCAUGGUUUAAAAAAUCUUUAAUUUUCAACACAAAGAUACCAAAUAAUCAAUUUAUGGCUCGACUCUCGAAUGUCCCCAGUGGAGUCGCCAAGCUGUCGAAACCAUUUUUUUGAAAACAAAAAUAAGUUAUCGACUUUAAAAACAAAAAUUGGAGUCACCACCGAUCCUUUAUUAAGGUGUGAUCGGCUCACCAUAAAAACAAUUCUGGUCUGCAAAAUUUAAGAAAACAGGUUCGGGAGUCAGUUACGCACGAGGAAGGGUUAGCACCCUCGUAACGCCCAAAAAUCGGUACCAAAUUUGAUUAUUUUAUGUCUUGAUGUCGAAAAUUUGAAAAGAGUUUAAAAAAUUUUAACCCAUGAAUGUAUUAAAAUGAUAAAACAUUCUCAUUUCAAAGAAAUAAAACACCACACCCAGUAAGUUAGGGCACAAUAUUUUAAAUCUUCAAAAUAUCGAAUAUUGCUUUUUGUUUUAGAAAUUCUUAUUUCGAGAUGACGAAAUGUCACGACCAGUAAGUUAGGAACCGACAUUUUACAUUCCCGAGAAUAAGCUUUUAUUUGAAAAUUGCAAAUUUAUUGUGAAAUAAAUACUUAGCUUGCUAAAUUCAUCGAGAAAUGAUCACGAUCCAGUAAGUUAGGACACGAUCUUUCUCGAGAAUCAUGAUUGCCAAAUAUUUAAAAAAAAAUUUUUAAAAAAAAUGAUGAUGUAAGUAUUUUGACCAAAAUCAAAAUAUAUUUUUCUUUAAAAGUAUGAUAAGAUGUUGAUGUAUGUACAUACAAAGAUCACGAAAAUGAAUCAAUAAUGCAAUGUACAUGCAUUUUAAAAAAUAAUAAACAUAAUAAUGUAUAAACAUAAUAUAUUGGUAAUUAUCAAAAAUAUGGACAUAUGUAUAUAUAAAAAAUUAAAAUUAAAAAUAUAUUUAUAAAGGUAUAGAAUAAUAUAUAUCUAUGUAUACGUAUAUAUAAAAAUAUUUGGAUCAUAAAAUAUAGAAAACAUAUAUAUAUUAUAAAAGUAUAUACGCAUACAUAUGUAUAUAAGGCUAAGAAAAAAUAAAAUAAUAAUAAAAUCUAUGAUAUGUACAUAUUAUAAAAUUGUAUAAACAUAUGAAUUAUAAAACAUGAAAAUAUAAAUAAUUAUAAAAUAUGAAUGUAUAUAAUAUAUAUAUAUAAACUAUAUAAAAAAAAAUUUGUAAUAAUAAUAAUAAUAAUAAUAAUAAUAAUAAUAAAACGUACUACAUAUAUAUUUAAAACAUUUAAUAUAUAUAUUAUAUAUAUGCGCACACAUACAUACAUACAAUAAUAAUAUAAUAAUAAUAGUAAUAUAUAAUAUAAUAACAAAGAUAACAGCAACUUAAUAACAAUAAUAGUAUUAACAAACUAAUAUUUAAUCUAAUUUGUAAAAGCAAAUACAAUGGACUAAAUUAGAAUCAAAACAAAAUUAACAACACAAAAUCAAAUUAAAAUAGAGAAUGAAUUUGCAAAAUUCCGGCAACAUGAAGGGUCAAAAGGGAAAUUAAUCCCUCCUCUCCCAAAGUGUUGCGUAGCACUGGAUUAAAAUCAAACAAAUUUAAUGUUUUAGGGAAAAAUUUGAAAAUAGCAAAAACAGUGGUUUUGAAAUGAUGAAAACAUGAGAGGAUUAAAAGCAUAAAUAACCCAUAAAUAAAACCCCAUUUCAAUUGCAGCCAAUAAAACCCAUUUGAAGCCUUAAUCAAAACCCCAUUCCAACUUCAGCAACAGCAGCCGCAAGAACUGCUUCUUUCUCUUCUGCUUCUCACCGAAAUCUUCCCCUUUCAACUCCGAUUCGGACGCAACGCAGCAAGGGCAUCAAUGGCGCGCCACCACUGGUAAGAACCUUCUCCUCUCCUCCUUAUUUCUGUUUUGCACACCCCAAAAAAACGAAACAAUAACAGAGAAAGCAAAAAAAAAAAUCACCUUCAAAAUCUGCUUUUGUCUUUCCUUUUGUAUUUUUAAUAUCUUUCUAAUACAACCUUCAUCUCUCCCAUUUACAGACUUGAAAUUGGAUUUAAAUGUACCCAAAAUUUACAAAAACUAUUUUCCUCUCCUUUUUUUCCUACUGCUAUCCCUUCCCCCACAAAAUAAUAAUCCAAAAAAACCAUCCACCCUAAAUCUAUUCUGUUAUUUUUACAUCUAUUGCCGUUUGGAUCAGUUUUUCGCAGGUAUGAGGGUCGUGGAAGGAAUGCGUCGUGGGUGGAAACGGUUGCUGCAACGUGGGUCGUGCGGCACCGGGGCUGGAUGCUGAAGCUUCUAGGUUUUUUUAUUUUUAGUUUUAGGCUAAUUUGGGGUUUGAGAAAAAUUGGAUAAUGGGCCUUAGUUAUUUAGGUUAAUUUUUGGACUGGUGUAAUGAAUAUUUGGGUUGGUCUUGUUCUGAGUGGGCCGGGUAAAAAUGGGCUAUUACAAAGUUCAUAUACCUUUCUUCUUCAACGGAGUCUUGAUGAUUUUAUUUCACAAUUUCAAUAGAUAGAGAUAUUAAAUCCUUCAUCAUCAUUAAAUAAAAUAAACUUCUUAUAAAAACUUUUCAUCUUGCCAUCAAAGAUCUUAGAAAUCAUGGAGAAUAUAUUUGAUUGUCGAUAAAAGGAACUAUCACUUUGAGCAAGAUCGUGUUCAUAACGUGUUAUAAAAUAAAGAGACAUGGAUGAAAUAAAGAACAAAUAAAAUAUGAAAGCAAUAGAGGAUAUACUUUAUUGAUCAAAAG